rnacentral:tRNA from 1 species
GGGGUCGUGGCAGACAAGCAAUGCACUUGCCCUGCAAGCAAGCUUAUGUGGGAGCGUUACCCACCGACUCCACCA